AAGGGAAGAGCUGGGGGUGUUAAUUAAUGGGCUACACCUGGUCAUUGAUGAGGGUGGAGGAGAGUGAACGUGGAACAUAAUCAUUGCUGAGAGAACAUGGAUAACAGAACUCCACAGCGAAAGAUCGUUUGUUUGGUGGCGUCAGAGCGGACGACACACACGAGGAUCAGCCUGAGGGACGCUACGCUCUGAUUGGUGCAGGGGUGGGUCUGAUUCUGGCCAUCAUGUUCGUCGCCGUGAAGCUCUGCAUGAUUAAGAGACACAUGCUGGACAACGGGUUCGUAUCAGAGGACUCAAUGAGAAAACAGUCCCUGCGUAAAUUGAAGCCGUCAUUGGCCGACGCUUGAUCAUCCCCAGCAUAAAAGGGCUGCCUCAUUGCCUCACAGAGAAGCAUGCCUGAGAGAUCGCCAUUUCGUUGGACGCAACCAUUUUUGGAUUUAGCUUUUUGUGGACAUUCGGGCCUUUGGCCAACUUGACUCUGCUGGAACGCCGCGCAGCCUCACCGUGCUGCCUGGCCCCAGCUUUUGUGGACUAGAAUGUCCUUUGUUGCAGUUUGUGUCUGCCUUACCGGCAUUUGCUUGCCCGUUUGGCGUCUUUGUUACACCUGUGGUCUCUUUAGACCCUUUUUGAGUUAAUGGUUAAUAAAAACCACUUAGAACAACCA
ensembl:lncRNA